ACAUCUGCUUGCAGGUAACCUCCUCAUACUCAACAGACGCCGUACCAACCUCUGCAACAUAAAGAUGCCAAAUUGCAUACCUCUAUUAGCAAGUAAAAUUACCAGCAUCUGCAAUUUUACCGCUGAGUUGUGAUAUUACCAAUAUCCCUUUUUGAUGAUUUGAUCUUGCGUGUUCUUCUCCUGAUGUGGCAGUAAAUGACGACAAACCCGAUGAUCACCGCCGCGACGAGGCACCCAAGCAGUACUUCAUAUCCUGCAUACUCUCAGAAGGCAAUGAAUUUCAAGGCACGGGUAGAAAGGAAGGGGAAAAGGCAGGUAAGGUAGACAUACCUGUAUGCAUCUAGCUGUGGAACGUCUGGGAAGAACACAAGAUCGCUUUUCUUUCACUGUGAAUGUUCCAACCGAAGCAAAUUAAUAUCAUGGCCACUCGCUAACCAGUCGUUAUUAGCAAUGAUGAAUAGCCAUUGCCGGCCAAGGGCCAGAACGGAAGAAGCCAAAGCACGGAAAAAUAUUGGAUCAAGGAAUCGGGCCGGGUCCGGACCAGAAGACGGCAUCAACUGAGUCUCAUGUUACGUCACUGGUUCUUUACAUAAUCUAAUCCAUUUUGUCAUAUUCUUGUGACGUUCCUUGCUCUGUCAUACCAAGUUAGUUAGUAUCUUCGGCUGUGGAAAAUAUAUCUUGAAUAUUUGGAUUGCUUCUCUGCUAAUGGGUCGUUGCGAUGGCGGAGAUCCGAUAUUGGUUCGGGCAUAGCAGAGUCCCCAUCCUUGGUCCCAACCUGAGAAGCAGACAAAUGUGUCAACUCUAUGCAAAGCGGAAUUAGAUACUAUAUGAGCUAAAACAAUAUUCUACUUUGACAGCUUCAUAUGAGCCAAACUAUAAAACAAUAAGGUUGCGUCCAUCAAAAGAGCAACAACUGGAGCAAGACAUAUGGCGUUGGGGUAUAAUGCUUGGUAAACUACUACGUUCUCCCUGUUCUUUCCAAGUAACUUCUGUCCUUUGCGAUCAGUUUGCUUUUACUACUGGUCAGUCUGUUCUUGUGUUGAUUAAUUCGUUGGGCAUGUAGAUGCUAAGAUUAUCAAGUCAAGUUUGCCAAUUAUAGUAGUAAUAGAGGAACACUCCAAAAGCUACUGUAGAAAAAAACAGAACCACUCCAAAAGCUCCAAGCUGUAAGAGUCCGUAUCUUAGCACAAUCGGCACUUAGUUUGCAUGGAUAUUCUGCUUAGGUCCACAAAACAAAGAAGUCACUAUUUUGUAAGUUACGUGCAGGUUACAUCAAUUGUGGUUUCCAAAGGAUAAGACAUGUCAUGUGAGGUCAUCAAACUUGCAUAAACCAGUGAAGGACCAUGCUGCUUGUGCUGUAUUUAUGCCCUUUAGAUUUGAUACCAUGCCACUUUAACUUCAACAGUGUCUAAACCUUUACAGAUCUGAUAGCCUGUUGCUUUAACAGUAUGUACCUUUGAAUGCAUCUUAUGAGAGAUUAAUUACGCAGCAGUUCCUCUUGUUAUGCAUAUGAAGUUAGAUGUUCAAACAAACUGCGCUUUACAAGUAUUUGGUUUGAAAAUGGAUCCUGUGAAAUGUUCCUAAUCAAUUAAGAAGCCUGAAACAUCACUUUCAUGGGCUAGGCAUAGGCAAUCACUUGUUACCUAAAUCAGUUACAAUAAAGAAUAACUCAAUAGUUUGUAGAGAACAGAUCAACAAAUUGUCUUCCCUGUAUAUGAAUGUCCUACUGUUUUCUUGUCCUUUUGCGUCGAUCUCAUUAUUUCUACGUGAAAAUAGAAGAACAAGAUCCUUGCUUUGGUUUUCUUGUCUCAAAUUUACUAUGUAAAACUAGCACAUCAGUGCAGCAUAUAUAAGUGGUUUAGAUCUUUGUGCCUGAUAGAUGCUUUCUUGGAGUUAUGUGUAUAUAUUAUAAGGUAACCAGUUUACAUCAUAUGCCUUUUUAGCCCAGAUAUUAAGGACCUCUUGAUCUGGUCCACUCUUUAAAAAUGCUACCAGUGAAUGGAAUAUCUUAAUUUUCUAGGCCAGCAAAUCGAUGCAAGCGCAAUAUCUGUUUUCUCUCUCUUUUUUCUGACGAAGGGAAUGUCUUAAUAUCAAGAUAUCUGUUUUCUCUUCACUGUAACUUUUAUAACUCUUGUGACCCAUGUAAAUUCCAUAACGCUUUAAACAGAGCCAGUUGUGUCGCAGAUCCUACAACCUUGUGCCUCACCGCUGCACACCACAGUAGUUCUCCUGCUAUCAUUAUAUUUCACGUAUCAUGUCAUGCUGACAAUUUCUUUCGGACAGAACGACCACUGGAUCAUCAGGAGAGCCAAGGGCCAAGCCUGGACUGGAACCUCCAAGAAAGAACCAGCAUUCGCACUGAUCAACUGGCAAGAUGCAAAUUCAGAUUGCAUUACAAGCCUCCGAUGAAGUGAAGCGAGAUGUUCGAUGGACAAAGACAAUACACCCCAAAGUUGUUACGCCCUCUGCCUUUUAUGAUGCAACAGCACAUCUACCAAUCAUGUGCACACGCAAUAGCGCUUUCAACAGGAGAUGGCAGCAUUAUCAUGCUUAGAGAUUAAGGAUGCGCCACUGCUGCUACAAAAACGAAG
rnacentral:lncRNA from 1 species